rnacentral:tRNA from 1 species
UUAUCUUUAGUGUAAAUGCAUAUCGAAUUUUGAUUUCGAGGGUUAAAAGAUAAU